rnacentral:rRNA from 1 species
ACUCAAAUGAAUUGACGGGGGCUCACACAAGCGGUGGAGUAUGUGGCUUAAUUCGAAGCAACGCGAAGAACCUUAUCCUGGGCUUGACAUGUAUGGAUUAGGUCGUGGAAACACGACUGAGGCCUUCGGGUACAACAUACACAGGUGCUGCAUGGCUGUCGUCAGCUCGUGCUGUGAAGUGUCGGGUUAAGUCCCUUAACGAGCGAAACCCCUAUCUCUAGUUGCUAACAGGUAAUGCUGAGGACUCUAGCGAGACUGCCGGUGUCAAACCGGAGGAAGGUGGGGAUGACGUCAAGUCCUCAUGGCCUUUAUGCCCAGGGCUGCACACGUACUACAAUGGCGUCGACAAAGCGAAGCGAGACCGCAAGGUGGAGCAAAUCGCACAAACGACGCCCCAGUUCAGAUUGUGGUCUGCAACUCGACCACAUGAAGUUGGAAUCGCUAGUAAUCGCGAAUCAGCUAUGUCGCGGUGAAUAUGUUCCUGAGCCUUGUACACACCGCCCGU